ensembl:ncRNA lncRNA:CR43264 long non-coding RNA:CR43264
CCCCUCGCCGCCGGCGGCAGCGCAUACAGUUAGUAUGCGAACUUCCAAUCGGGAGGUAGUGCCGCCGGUCCGGGUUCGAAUCCCGGUGAAGUUAUCAAAAGUAGCAAUGGAAAAUAUAUGAUGAUGGUGCACUUCCGGAUUUACAAUUACAAUAUCCCAAAUCCAAAUUUAGGGUGUGCAAAAUACAUACUAUUGUAGAUUUAAGUUAUAUCAUAAGAAUGAAAGUUUGGUUUGUUUACGCUGUCACACAAUGCAAUAUGGGCUUUAGUUAUAAGAAACACAAACAGACGAUUGUAAAUAAUAACACAAAAACACUUU